rnacentral:rRNA from 1 species
CAAUAGCGUAUAUUAAAGUUGUUGCGGUUAAAAAGCUCGUAGUUGGAUUUCUGUUGAGAACGUCCGGUCCGCACUAUGUGCGUGUAUCUGGUUCGGUCUUGGCAUCCUCUUGAGGAACGUACCUGCGCUUGAUUGCGUGGAGCGGUAUUCAAGACUUUUACUUUGAGGAAAUUAGAGUGUUCACGGCAGGCAAGCGCCUUGAAUACGUUAGCAUGGAAUAAUAAUAUAGGAUCUUGGUUCUAUUUUGUUGGUUUCUAGGGCUAAGGUAAUGAUUAAUAGGGAUAAUUGGGGGCAUUUGUAUUAACGCGUCAGAGGUGGAAUUCUUGGAUUGCGUUACGACAAACUACUGCGAAAGCAUUUGCCAAGGAUGUUUUCAUUGA